CGUUCUUGAAUAUUCUUUAAUAACUUGAUAUUAAUACCUAUCGAGCUUCUUAGAAGCAAAUGUUUUGUCCAUUUUAAAUAUACAUUAGCGGUCCCACUUAAGUCGUUUUGAAGAUAAAAUGAUAACUGCAUUCAUAUUGCUUAUUAUAGAGUGUAUCUUUUGGGCAAUAACGGAUAAGAAUCUCAAGCUAGUUUUAACGACUGCUUCUAAUUAGCGUCCACAUGCAUGCAAGGUUCAACGUUUUGUGUGUGAUACGGUAUUUAACGUUGGCAUCCUCCCACAAAGUGGGCAUCAUAUUUGUGUUUUCAUUAAUGUUUCCCUGAUUUUUUCAAGUUUAAUUUACGGCUAACAAGUGCAGCAAAUAUCGAAUGUUUAUUCAGUUUAAGUGCAAAAC